rnacentral:misc_RNA from 1 species
CCGAGCGUGACCCCCCCGUAAAUUAAUAGGGGGGUGCCUCCCGUCCUUUGCAGGCCUUUAGGGGCUUUGACACUUUGCUUCGGCGGGGCUGCCCCGCCGGAACACCCUCAAGAAAAUCUCGAAAAAACCGUUCAGUCCGAGGGUUGCUAUAAUAAGCA